rnacentral:rRNA from 1 species
AGGGCCGCGGUAACUUGACCGUGCGAAGGUAGCAUAAUCAGUAGUCUUUUAAUUGGAGGCUGGAAUGAAUGGUCGGAUGAGGGGAGAUCUGUCUUUGUUUUUAAAUUUUGAAUUUAACCUUUAAGUGAAAAGGCUUAAAUUUGUUUGUGGGACGAUAAGACCCUAUAAAACUUUAUAUAGUAUUGCUUUGGUUUGUGAAUUUUGUUUAAUGUUGCUUUGAUAGUCUUAUAUUUCGUUGGGGCGAUGGUAAUAUAAUUUGUAGCUGUUAUUUUUUAUGAAAUAAUUAUUGUUAGGCAAUGAUCCUGUUCUAUAGAUUAUAAGUUUAAGUUACUUUAGGGAUAACAGCGUGAUUUUUUUUGAGAGUUCAUAUCGACAAAAUAAGUUGCGACCUCGAUGUUGAAUUAAAAUUUUAUCUGGGUGCAGCCGCUCAGGUUAUAGGUCUGUUCGACCUUUAAAAUUUU